CCUACGGGAGGCAGCAGUGGGGAAUCUUGCGCAAUGGGCGAAAGCCUGACGCAGCCAUGCCGCGUGAAUGAUGAAGGUCUUAGGAUUGUAAAAUUCUUUCACCGGGGACGAUAAUGACGGUACCCGGAGAAGAAGCCCCGGCUAACUUCGUGCCAGCAGCCGCGGUAAUACGAAGGGGGCUAGCGUUGCUCGGAAUUACUGGGCGUAAAGGGAGCGUAGGCGGAUAGUUUAGUCAGAGGUGAAAGCCCAGGGCUCAACCUUGGAAUUGCCUUUGAUACUGGCUAUCUUGAGUGUGGGAGAGGUAUGUGGAACUCCGAGUGUAGAGGUGAAAUUCGUAGAUAUUCGGAAGAACACCAGUGGCGAAGGCGACAUACUGGCCCAUUACUGACGCUGAGGCUCGAAAGCGUGGGGAGCAAACAGGAUUAGAUACCCGUGGUAGUCCACGCUGUAAACGAUGAGUGCUAGUUGUCGGCAGGCAUGCCUGUCGGUGACGCAGCUAACGCAUUAAGCACUCCGCCUGGGGAGUACGGUCGCAAGAUUAAAACCGUCAAAGGAAUUGACGGCUGAGACGNGCGAGCGACGACGAGGGAGAGG
rnacentral:rRNA from 1 species